rnacentral:lncRNA from 1 species
GGUGGUAGUGAUGGUGGUGAUGGUGAUGGUGAUGGUGGUGGUGGUGAUGGUGAUGGUGGUGAUGAUGAUGAUGAUGAUGGUGGUGGUGAUGGUGAUAGUGAUGAUGGUGGUGACGGUGAUAGUGAUGGUGAUGGUGGUGAUGGUGAUGAUGGUGUGAUGAGGGUGAUAGUGAUGAUGGUGGUGGUAGUGAUGGUGAUGGUGGUGAUGGUGAUGGUGGUAGUGAUGGUGGUGAUGGUGGUAGUGAUGGUGAUGGUGAUGGUGGUGUGAUGAUGGUGGUGGUGAUGGUGAUGGUGAUGAUGGUGAUGGUGGUGAUGNN